UCAGAGGCAUAAAGGUCAUUUGCU
rnacentral:piRNA from 1 species